AGCAUAAAGUGAAAAAUAUAUAGUCAACAGAUUUUUUUUAUAGUUUUAUAUUCUUAGAGUAAGGUUUUCAUUUUAGAAAAUAGUUCACACAAUAAGUUAAGAAACCAUAGCAAGAUCCAGAACAGAUAUCAAAAGAAAGAACCCUUAAACAAGUAAAGAAUGGACCCUUAGACAAGAUGUGACGUUGUAAUCAAUAUACAGCCCAUAAAAAAAAAAAAAAUCAACAGAUCCCGAUAGACUCAAGUUCCACCCGAGGUUUACACCAAUUAUCCACCUAAACGCAUUCGUAAAUUAAUCUGCUUCUGCUCCAUCUCUUCGAAACAAAAUUAAUAAAGGUUAACGAUGUAAACAAAGAAGUCCACCCUGAAUGCUUUCGGCCUAUCCAAAUUCCUCCGGAAGGAAGUAAACAAUUGAUACACCCGAACCCGUACAAGCGGAUCUGACAAUAAUAUAACAACUUUAUUAUAAUAAAAAUACAC